rnacentral:rRNA from 1 species
GUCAGGAUGAACGCUGGCGGCGUGCCUAACACAUGCAAGUCGAACGGAGUUAUUAUUAUGAAGUUUUCGGAUGGAUUAAUAAUAACUUAGUGGCGGACGGGUGAGUAACGCGUGGGUAACCUGCCUCAUACAGGGGGAUAACAGUUGGAAACGGCUGCUAAAACCGCAUAAGCAUACAUUGUCGCAUGACAGAGUGUGAAAAUAUUUAUAGGUAUGAGAUGGGCCCGCGUCUGAUUAGCUAGUUGGUAAGGUAACGGCUUACCAAGGCGACGAUCAGUAGCCGGCUUGAGAGAGUGACCGGCCACAUUGGGACUGAGACACGGCCCAAACUCCUACGGGAGGCAGCAGUGGGGAAUAUUGCACAAUGGGGGAAACCCUGAUGCAGCGACGCCGCGUGAAGGAUGAAGGUUUUCGGAUUGUAAACUUCUUUGAUUGGGGACGAAUAAUGACGGUACCCAAAAAACAAGCCACGGCUAACUACGUGCCAGCAGCCGCGGUAAUACGUAGGUGGCAAGCGUUGUCCGGAGUUACUGGGUGUAAAGGGCGUGUAGGCGGGAGGUCAAGUCAGAUGUGAAAUACCAGGGCUCAACCCUGGGGCUGCAUCUGACACUGUCCUUCUUGAGUGCUGGAGAGGAUAGCGGAAUUCCUAGUGUAGCGGUGAAAUGCGUAGAGGAUAGGACGAACACCAGUGGCGAAGGCGGCUUUCUUGACAGGAACUGACGCUGAGGGGCGAAAGCGUGGGGAACAAACAGGAUUAAAUACCCUGGGUAUCCACGCCCUAAACGAUUGUUACUAGG